rnacentral:lncRNA from 1 species
CAAUAAUGCGUUUAGCGACAUCACGAGGUAGCUCCGAUAGAAGCAGCAAAAACAUGUAAAUAUGAAUGUACAUUUGUUUAUAUAACAUUUUAUUUUAUACAGUCACCAAUUAAUUAUUUACUCAUCGUUCUCUGAACUUUCCUGGUGAUUUUGUUUUGUUUCCAGAGUCUCACACAAGCGCUUGAUUUCACCUCAGCUGAAACUCAUAAGUGCUUUUACAUAUUUAACUUCAUUACUGUGCUAUUUUGAGGGCUUACGAACAAAAUAGACGACUUAAUACACCAAAGAAAUUCUCAUCUCUGAGGUAAGAUUGCAAAGUUGUUGCAAACUGUCGGUGAAAAGCCAAAGCUCUUGACGCACUCUGGCGGAAUGAAUUGAUGUCAAUAGGGCGCACCUGCGGUUCAACUGUCGGCUGUCAGUUUUAGUCAUUUUAUUGAUAUUAUUUUACAUAAAAACAUAAAUAAUCAGAGGUGCAGUUAAGCAAACAUCAAAAUCAUAUUGUUUUGUCCUGCUUUGUGAUUAAAUGUCGCAGCUGGGAUCGGCUGUGCCCUCAUCAAGCUUACCUGAGGGCCUCCCGGUGUCCAGUUUGGCCCUUCUGAUCCUGGUGCUCAUUCCCUGCGUCCUUCUGCUCCUGCUGCUCAACUGCCUGUUCGUGGGAUACAAGCUGUUCCGCAUGGCCCAGAGGAAGAGGGACCGCUUCGGGUCGGAAAUCUCGCUCAUGCACUCGUCGUUUUCCACCCGCCAGAGAAUCACCCGCUUCUCUGAUGAGCCUCUGUUCGCUCCAAACAGAAAGACCAACUACGUCUCGGUCUCGGAGCCGAUGCUGGCGCCUCCCAUAACCUCGUCCCUGACCUCCUCAGCGGAGAGAAGGGCCACCGGGCAGCGCGCCAGGUUUAUUCGCCCGAAUAGGGCCACUUACGCCGGGUCCGAGUCUCUGCGUGUGCCGAACGUGAGGACGAGCGCCCCGGUUCUGCUGCAGUCCAGUGAUUCGGACACGGAGCGGGUCAACACGGUGCCACCGAACUCACCAGCACUGCAUGUGACUCCCAAUGGGUUCUCAAUGCGGAUGACUUCCAUGCGAAGCAGCACCAUGGAGCUGGAGAGCGCUCCUCCGGAUAAGAUCCAUGUGGAAUGCGAGUCUGCCAGCAUCAUCCAGUUGGAGAACUUCUGCUAUGUGGCGUCAUCAAGCCCCUCGGCUAGGGGUUCAGGACUGGACAGUGACUUUGGAGCCAGUGCAGGUGUAUCUCUGCGUAUCCUUUCUAUGGACAGUGAUGGUUUCCCGGGCUCUGCCUGGGCGUCCGUUCUGGAAUGGGAUUACUACGACCCAAGUUACGUCACUCAGAACCACGUCCCAAAGCACAGACCUCACGCACCCCCCAUCACUACCAAACAGUACUGGGUCUAGAGCCCGAGCUGCAUAGGGAGAGCCUGAUGAACACCAGAACAAGACUCGAUUCAGCCAUUCUCAUUCUAGAACUUCAGUUGAGCCGAGUCUAGAUUUCUGUCUGGGUUUAGUGCACUUAAUGUUCACAUGCGGUUUUAACUGCAACACAUCACUUGUUGUCAAAUCACACACACAAACACACACACACACACGAUUAAAAGUCUUCACGAUCACAGGUUUGUUCUGUUUACAAAAAUGCGUUUAUAUAAUCACUCCACUAUUGCUUUCACUUUAGAUCACUUUGAUUGACACGGCCUUUGUUUUACACGUAGAGUUUCUCACUGCAUUGUAAUUUUUAUGUUUGCACAUGAUUCUCAGCAUGGAGUUACUGAGGUCUACAGAAGCGGCUGUUUGAGUACUUCACAAUUUCGACAUGCUACACAUUCUUGUAUUUGUAAAGAAAAAAGUAUUUAGAUUGUGCCUGAAUUGGAUAAAGUUUUAAAAUACAGGGUGUCAUUUAAUUGCUGUGGACAUCUAAUGCAAUUAUAAAAAAAAUAAAACUGUUUCAAAAUAAUCGUAUUCCUUAAGAUCACUGUUUUCAUAUAUGCAUUAGGGGUUUUUAUAGCAGAAUAGCUGAUCUUGAGAUUUAAGUCUCAACUCUAUAAAACCAUGCAAGCUGAUAAAGACCAACUAGUUUC